rnacentral:rRNA from 1 species
GACGAACGCUGGCGGCGUGCUUAACGCAUGCAAGUCGAGCGGUAAGGCCCUUUCGGGGGUACACGAGCGGCGAACGGGUGAGUAACACGUGGGUGACCUGCCCUCAGCUCUGGGAUAAGCCUGGGAAACCGGGCCUAAUACCGGAUAUGACUCCAUGACGCAUGUUGUGGGGUGGAAAGCCUUGUGCGGCUGAGGAUGGGCCCGCGGCCUAUCAGCUUGUUGGUGGGGUGAUGGCCUACCAAGGCGACGACGGGUAGCCGGCCUGAGAGGGCGACCGGCCACACUGGGACUGAGACACGGCCCAGACUCCUACGGGAGGCAGCAGUGGGGAAUCUUGCGCAAUGGGCGAAAGCCUGACGCAGCGACGCCGCGUGAGGGAUGACGG